UCUGCCCCUAAAGGUAUUGCAGAGAGAAGAGACGCUAUGUCUAAGUUCAGUGUUCUGACCUGUUCAUAACAUAACAGUGUUCAUAAACAUCUGAAUGAUUAGUAGCCUAACAUU
ensembl:snoRNA Gm24138 predicted gene, 24138